UACGGGGGGGGCAAGCGUUGUUCGGAAUUACUGGGCGUAAAGGGUGCGUAGGCGGGUCUUUAAGUCAGGGGUGAAAUCCUGGAGCUCAACUCCAGAACUGCCUUUGAUACUGAGGAUCUUGAGUUCGGGAGAGGUGAGUGGAACUGCGAGUGUAGAGGUGAAAUUCGUAGAUAUUCGCAAGAACACCAGUGGCGAAGGCGGCUCACUGGCCCGAUACUGACGCUGAGGCACGAAAGCGUGGGGAGCAAACAGGG
rnacentral:rRNA from 1 species